rnacentral:lncRNA from 1 species
CUGAAACAUGAAACUUAAAAAUAGUAUCUGUAAUAGGGCCCAAUCGACCCAGGCCCAAACAUAAAAAACAGCCCAAAAUAGCCCCUAGCCCAGCAACUAAAGAAAACCUAAGUGAAAAAUAAACCCUAGCCGCAUGUCUGCCCCGACGCCGCCAGCAAGCAUCCAACCGCCGCACGCCUCGGGGCCACUCCUCCACGAACGCUCCGUGAUACCUGCAAACACAGACUCAAAGAGUCCGAGAGAGAAUAAAAUAGCAAAAUAGCAAAUUAUAUUCGUUUUUUGCUUUUGUUUUCGGGCUAUAAAAGGCCCUUCUGUAAUCUGUAAAAGGGGACGGAUAUUGUAUUAACGAAAAUACACAGAGAAAUACACAAGGAAAUUGAAAGAAACACCUACGUUUUUAAGGUGAACCAUUUUUUUAAUAUAGGCUUUUAUUCUUUUUAUUUCAUUUUUUUUGAAGAAAUAAUACAAAAGAAGGGUGAGGGUUUACCUUCAAAGCUUAGCCGAUGAAGCCUAGCCGCGCUCGAAUCGGAGGUCCGGCGGAGGGCCAAGGCUUAAGGCGAAGGUGUGUUGUGGCGGCCUGGGUUUAAAACCCUAGCAGAGGGGUUUUUUUAGUUUUUUC